UACGAAGGGGGCUAGCGUUGCUCGGAAUUACUGGGCGUAAAGCGCACGUAGGCGGCUUUGUAAGUUAGAGGUGAAAGCCCGGGGCUCAACCUCGGAAUUGCCUUUAAGACUGCAUCGCUUGAAUCCGGGAGAGGUGAGUGGAAUUCCGAGUGUAGAGGUGAAAUUCGUAGAUAUUCGGAAGAACACCAGUGGCGAAGGCGGCUCACUGGACCGGUAUUGACGCUGAGGUGCGAAAGCGUGGGGAGCAAACAGG
rnacentral:rRNA from 1 species